rnacentral:rRNA from 1 species
GACGAACGCUGGCGGCGUGCCUAAUACAUGCAAGUCGAACGCAGUGGGGACGGGUGAGUAACACGUGGGUAACCUCCCAUCAGAGGGGAUAACACUUGGAAACAGGUGCUAAACCGAUACUGAUGGAUGGACCCGCGGUGCAUUAGCUAGGUGGUGAGGUAACGGCUCACCAAGGCCACGAUGCAUAGCCGACGGGAGAGGGGGGUCAGCCACACGGGGAUGGAGACACGGCACAGACUCCUGCGGUAGGCGGCGUUAGGGAGUCGUAGGCAAUGGACGAAGGGCUGGCCGGGCAACGCCGAGUGGGUGAAAAAGGUUUUCGGAUCGUAGAACUAUGUUGUUAGAGAAGCGGUAUCUAACCAGAAAGCCACGGCUAACUACGUGCCAGCAGCCGCGGUAAUAC